rnacentral:rRNA from 1 species
AUUGAACGCUGGCGGCAUGCCUAACACAUGCAAGCGAACGGAAACAGGACGCUGUGAUCCCUUCGGGGUGAACUUGUCGCUGUCGAGUGGCGGACGGGUGAGUAAUGCGUAGGAAUUUGCCUCAAAGUGGGGGAUAGCCCGAAGAAAUUCGGAUUAAUACCGCAUGUGCUCUACGGAGGAAAGCGGGCCUCUACUUGUAAGCUCGUGCUUUGAGAUAAGCCUACGUCGGAUUAGCUUGUUGGUAGGGUAACGGCCUACCAAGGCGACGAUCCGUAGCUGGUUUGAGAGGAUGAUCAGCCACACUGGGACUGAGACACGGCCCAGACUCCUACGGGAGGCAGCAGUGGGGAAUAUUGGACAAUGGGCGCAAGCCUGAUCCAGCAAUGCCGCGUGUGUGAAGAAGGCCUGCGGGUUGUAAAGCACUUUUAUCGGGAAAGAAAAUCUCGGGGUUAAUACCCCCGGGCCUUGACGGUACCCGAAGAAUAAGCACCGGCUAACUCCGUG